rnacentral:rRNA from 1 species
CCCUUAGAUGUUCUGGGCCGCACGCGCGCUACACUGAUGCAUUCAACGAGCCUAUCCUUGACCGACAGGUCCGGGUAAUCUUUGAAUCUGCAUCGUGACGGGGAUAGAUUAUUGCAAUUAUUAAUCUUCAACGAGGAAUGCCUAGUAGGCGCAAGUCAUCAGCUUGCGUCGAUUACGUCCCUGCCCUUUGUACACACCGCCCGUCGCUACUACCGAUUGGGUGUGCUGGUGAAAUGUUCGGAUCGGCCGUUUGUCGCGGUUUCCGCGUCAUGUGGCUGAGAAGUUCAUUAAACCCUCCCACCUAGAGGAAGGAGAAGUCGUAACA